CUGUGUGACCUACACUGAGUUACCAAUGCUCACACAACCCCAUCCCUCAUCUGCUUAGUGGGUAAAUAUGAAAGCAGUUUCGAAUUCUUCUGAAGAUGAGAUGGAUGCUAACGUGCAGCCACUGCAAUAGCCUGGUAUACACAGCCGCCCCACCCCCUUGAAAGAGAGGAUCAGUCAACAAUGGGGCCAUACCAAGAGAUGCAUAGUGCCUGAUGCCAAUCAAUUAACUGCCAGGCCCAAGAAAAAUGGAAGAAUGAGGGCCACAACCAGUUUAUCAAGAGUUCUUCAUGUA